CUUACAUUUGCAAUUUGAAGUGAAGUAAUGGAGGUUUGAUUCACCCAUCGGGGGGAAAGACGCAAUAAUCUGUUUAUCACAUGUGAAUUUUUCCUGGAUGGGUGAAGCAGAUGUCAUAUUCAACAUCAAUUCUUUAUAGUUCAACCUACUAUUAUCUUCUUAUCCCACCACAGUUGUACAAAAAUGAUUUAAUCACUGAGUGCAGUGGCAGUUGGUGUUCUUUGCUUGUAUGCAGAUAUUAUUUUAUAUAUUCAUGUAGCUUUGUCGAAGGAAAUGGCAGUCUGGAAGAAAUUGAAGAUCGGGGAAUCGAAUGCAUACCGUCCAUCAUACGAAAGGCGUAAAUCACCAGCAGAUCUGGAAACGUAAAGGUGAAUGAAUUUCGUCAUUACUGGUGCAAACAUCAGACGAUCAGAGCCUGAUAAAACGACUGUACACACUUCCCAUUCCUGCCGGGACAUUUCGUCAAAUUCUUUCAAGACCCAUCCCCGGCAACGUCAACCUGCAGAAGGAAGAGGCCAGUUUGCAUGUCCUUC